UACGUAGGGCGCAAGCGUUGUCCGGAAUUAUUGGGCGUAAAGAGCUCGUAGGUGGUUUGUCGCGUUGUUCGUGAAAACCGGGGGCUUAACCCUCGGCGUGCGGGCGAUACGGGCAGACUUGAGUACUGCAGGGGAGACUGGAAUUCCUGGUGUAGCGGUGGAAUGCGCAGAUAUCAGGAGGAACACCGGUGGCGAAGGCGGGUCUCUGGGCAGUAACUGACGCUGAGGAGCGAAAGCGUGGGGAGCGAACAGG
rnacentral:rRNA from 1 species